CCUACGGGGGGCUGCAGUAGGGAAUCUUCCGCAAUGGGCGAAAGCCUGACGGAGCAACGCCGCGUGAGUGAUGAAGGUCUUCGGAUCGUAAAACUCUGUUAUCAGAGAAGAACAAAUGUGUAAGUAACUGUGCACAUCUUGACGGUACCUGAUCAGAAAGCCACGGCUAACUACGUGCCAGCAGCCGCGGUAAUACGUAGGUGGCAAGCGUUAUCCGGAAUUAUUGGGCGUAAAGCGCGCGUAGGCGGUUUUUUAAGUCUGAUGUGAAAGCCCACGGCUCAACCGUGGAGGGUCAUUGGAAACUGGAAAACUUGAGUGCAGAAGAGGAAAGUGGAAUUCCAUGUGUAGCGGUGAAAUGCGCAGAGAUAUGGAGGAACACCAGUGGCGAAGGCGACUUUCUGGUCUGUAACUGACGCUGAUGUGCGAAAGCGUGGGGAUCAAACAGGAUUAGAUACCCGGGUAGUC
rnacentral:rRNA from 1 species